ensembl:snRNA U7 U7 small nuclear RNA
GAAAAUUUGCUCUUAGUAUUUCUCCAGUAGGUUUCUUCAAGGAGAAUGCCCCC